rnacentral:rRNA from 1 species
UACGAAGGUGGCUAGCGUUGCUCGGAAUCACUGGGCGUAAAGGGUGCGUAGGCGGGUCUUUAAGUCAGGGGUGAAAUCCUGGAGCUCAACUCCAGAACUGCCUUUGAUACUGAGGAUCUUGAGUUCGGGAGAGGUGAGUGGAACUGCGAGUGUAGAGGUGAAAUUCGUAGAUAUUCGCAAGAACACCAGUGGCGAAGGCGGCUCACUGGCCCGAUACUGACGCUGAUGCACGAAAGCGUGGGGAGCAAACAGG